CGUGAGGGAAAGGUGAAAAGAACCCCGGGAGGGGAGUGAAAUAGAACCUGAAACCCUGCACUUACAAGCUGUGGGAGCACAUUACUUGUGUGACCGCGUACUUUUUGUAGAACGGGCCAACGAGUUACGUUAAGUAGCAAGGUUAAGCACUUAAGGUGUGGAGCCGUAGCGAAAGCGAGUCUUAAAUGGGCGUCCAGUUACCCGACGUAGACCCGAAACCAGGCGACCUAUCCAUGAGCAGGUUGAAGCGAAAGUAAAAUUUCGUGGAGGACCGAACCCACGUACGUUGAAAAGUGCGGGGAUGACUUGUGGAUAGCGGUGAAAUUCCAAUCGAGCCUGGAGAUAGCUGGUUCUCCCCGAAAUAGCUUUAGGGCUAGCCUCAAGCUUAGAGAAACGGAGGUAGAGCACUGAAUGUCCUAGGGGGUAUUGCACUUACCGAAGACUAUCAAACUCCGAAUGCCGUUUUCUUUUACUUGGGAGUCAGACUGUGGGUGAUAAGAUUCAUAGUCAAAAGGGCAACAGCCCAGAUCGUCAGCUAAGGUCCCUAAAUGUACGUUAAGUGGUAAAGGAUGUGGGAUUGCACAGACAACCAGGAUGUUGGCUUAGAAGCAGCCACUCAUUUAAAGAGUGCGUAAUAGCUCACUGGUCGAGUGAUUCUGCGCCGAAAAUUUCCGGGGCUAAAACUUACUACCGAAGCUACGGCAUCAUUAUGAUGGGUAGGGGAGCUUUCUAUGCGGCUUGAAGCAUGACCGUAAGGACAUGUGGACUGCAUAGAAGUGAGAAUGUUGGCAUGAGUAGCGAGAUGUGGGUGAGAAUCCCACAGGCCGUAAACCCAAGGUUUCCAGGGGAAGGUUCGUCCGCCCUGGGUUAGUCAGGACCUAAGCCGAGGCCGAAAGGCGUAGGUGAUGGACAACAGGUUGAUAUUCCUGUACCACCAAUAACCGUUUGAGAAAUGGGAUGACACAGUAGGAUAAGCUAACCGCACUGUUGGUUAUGUGCGGGCAAGUAUUGAGGCAGUUCCGAUAGGCAAAUCCGUCGGAAUAAUGCUGGGGUACGAUGCGGAGCGAAAUUUAGUAGCGAAGUAGCUGAUUUCACACUGUCGAGAAAAGUCUCUAUCGAGGUUAAAGGUGCCUGUACCGCAAACCGACACAGGUGGGUGAGGAGAGUAUCCUAAGGCCAGCGAGAGAACUGUUGUUAAGGAACUCGGCAAAAUGACCCCGUAACUUAGGGAGAAGGGGUGCCUUCGAAAGAAGGCCGCAGAGAAUAGGCCCAAGCGACUGUUUACCAAAAACAUAGGUUUCUGCUAAGUCGCAAGACGAUGUAUAGGAGCUGACGCCUGCCCGGUGCUGGAAGGUUAAGGGGAUCUGUUAGAGCAAUCGAAGCAGUGAACUUAAGCCCCAGUAAACGGCGGCCGUAACUAUAACGGUCCUAAGGUAGCGAAAUUCCUUGUCGGGUAAGUUCCGACCCGCACGAAAGGCGUAACGAUUUGGGCACUGUCUCAACAACAGACUCGGUGAAAUUGUAAUACCGGUGAAGAUGCCGGUUACCUGCGACAGGACGGAAAGACCCCAUGGAGCUUUACUGUAGCUUGACAUUGAGUCUCGGUGCUACAUGUACAGGAUAGGUGGGAGACUAUGAAGCAUGGACGUCAGUCUGUGUGGAGUCAUCCUUGGGAUACCACCCUUGUAGUACUGGGAUUCUAACCAGAGGCCAUGAAUCUGGUCUUGGGACACUGUCAGGUGGACAGUUUGACUGGGGCGGUCGCCUCCCAAAAAGUAACGGAGGCGCUCAAAGGUUCUCUCAGUACGGUCGGAAAUCGUACGAAGAGUGUAAAGGCAAAAGAGAGCUUGAUUGCAAGACAUACAGGUCGAGCAAGGACGAAAGUCGGACUUAGUGAUCCGGUGGUUCCGCAUGGAAGGGCCAUCGCUCAACGGAUAAAAGCUACCCUGGGGAUAACAGGCUUAUCUCCCCCAAGAGUUCACAUCGACGGGGAGGUUUGGCACCUCGAUGUCGGCUCAUCGCAUCCUGGAGCUGAAGUCGGUUCCAAGGGUUGGGCUGUUCGCCCAUUAAAGCGGUACGCGAGCUGGGUUCAGAACGUCGUGAGACAGUUCGGUCC
rnacentral:rRNA from 1 species